rnacentral:rRNA from 1 species
CAAGGCUUGACAUACGCCGGAAAACCCUGGAGACAGGGUCCCCCUUGUGGUCGGUGUACAGGUGGUGCAUGGCUGUCGUCAGCUCGUGUCGUGAGAUGUUGGGUUAAGUCCCGCAACGAGCGCAACCCUUAUUCUGUGUUGCCAGCACGCCCUUUGGGGUGGUGGGGACUCACAGGAGACUGCCGGGGUCAACUCGGAGGAAGGUGGGGACGACGUCAAGUCAUCAUGCCCCUUAUGUCUUGGGCUGCACACGUGCUACAAUGGCCGGUACAAUGAGUUGCGAUGCCGUGAGGUGGAGCCAAUCCCAGAAACCCGAUCGUAGUCCGGAUUGCAGUCUGCAACUCGACUGCAUGAAGUCGGAAUCGCUAGUAAUCGCAGAUCAGCAUUGCUGCGGUGAAUACGUUCCCGGGCCUUGUACA